rnacentral:rRNA from 1 species
UAACGCGUGGGUAACCUGCCUCACACUGGGGGAUAACAGUUAGAAAUAGCUGCUAAUACCGCAUAAGCGCACGGUUCCGCAUGGAACAGUGUGAAAAACUCCGGUGGUGUGAGAUGGACCCGCGUCUGAUUAGCCAGUUGGCGGGGUAACGGCCCACCAAAGCGACGAUCAGUAGCCGGCCUGAGAGGGUGAACGGCCACAUUGGGACUGAGACACGGCCCAAACUCCUACGGGAGGCAGCAGUGGGGAAUAUUGCACAAUGGGGGAAACCCUGAUGCAGCGACGCCGCGUGAGUGAAGAAGUAUUUCGGUAUGUAAAGCUCUAUCAGCAGGGAAGAAAGUGACGGUACCUGAAUAAGAAGCCCCGGCUAACUACGUGCCAGCAGCCGCGGUAAUACGUAGGGGGCAAGCGUUAUCCGGAUUUACUGGGUGUAAAGGGAGCGUAGACGGCAAGGCAAGUCUGAAGUGAAAGCCCGGUGCUUAACGCCGGGACUGCUUUGGAAACUGUUUGGCUGGAGUGCCGGAGAGGUAGGCGGAAUUCCUAGUGUAGCGGUGAAAUGCGUAGAUAUUAGGAAGAACACCAGUGGCGAAGGCGGCUUACUGGACGGUAACUGACGUUGAGGCUCGAAAGCGUGGGGGAGCAAACAGGAUUAGAUACCCUGGUAGUCCACGCCGUAAACGAUGAUUGCUAGGUGU